CCCCCCUCCCUCUGGUUGUCUUUGAGACUCCCAGGGGCGUGAAAGAUAUUUCAAAGUAUUGAGACACUUAGAAAAAAAACGACAAAGUCCACUCACCCGUCAGGGGGGUGUGUGGACCAGGCAGGGAGUCCGACCGUGAGGCCUGAGCGCGGGCUCAGCCCCGGUCCGACCUCCCUUCCUCUCACUGGAAGUCACUUAGUUUACCAGGGGCGCGAAAAAAAAAAUUUGGCAAAGUAUUGAAACACUUAGAAAAAAAACGACAAAGUCCACUCACCCGUCAGGGGGGUGUGUGGACCAGGCAGGGAGUCCGACCGUGAGGCCUGAGCGCGGGCUCAGCCCCGGUCUGACCUCCCUUCCUCUCACUGGAAGUCACUUAGUUUACCAGGGGCGCGAAAAAAAAAAUUUGGCAAAGUAUUGAAACACUUAGAAAAAAAACGACAAAGUCCACUCACCCGUCAGGGGGGUGUGUGGACCAGGCAGGGAGUCCGACCGUGAGGCCUGAGCGCGGGCUCAGCCCCGGUCCGACCUCCCUUCCUCUCACUGGAAGUCACUUAGUUUACCAGGGGCGCGAAAAAAAAAAUUUGGCAAAGUAUUGAAACACUUAGAAAAAAAACGACAAAGUCCACUCACCCGUCAGGGGGGUGUGUGGACCAGGCAGGGAGUCCGACCGUGAGGCCUGAGCGCGGGCUCAGCCCCGGUCCGACCUCCCUUCCUCUCACUGGAAGUCACUUAGUUUACCAGGGGCGCGAAAAAAAAAAAUUUGGCACAGUAUUGAAACACUUAGAAAAAAAAACGAAAAAAAAAAAAAAAUUAGGUUGGUAUACCAGGGGCGCGGGCAAAUGGCGGGAGUAACUGUGACUCUCUUAAGGUAAACAGACUUAAUGAAAAAAGUUAAAGUAUUGAAACACUUAGAAAAAAAACGAAAAAAAAUAUAUAUUUAGGUUGGUAUACCAGGGGCGCGGGCAAACGGCGGGAGUAACUGUGACUCUCUUAAGGUAAACAGACUUAAUGAAAAAAGUUAAAGUAUUGAAACACUUAGAAAAAAAC